AUGUGUAUGGAGAAGUGUUAUUUCUAUCUGGGGCCCAUCCACCCUGGCCACGGCAUGAUGUUCGUCCACAACUAUUGCAGGGUGUUCAGAUUUUGUAAAUUUAAAUGUCAUUAAAACUUUAAAAAGAAGCGCAAUUCUCACAAGGUCAUGUGGGCUACAGCAUUCCAGAAAGCAGCUGGUGAAAAGCUUACAGUGGAUAAUUCAUUUAAAUAUGAAAAAUGUAGAAAUGAACCUAUCAAAUACCAGUGAGAGCUACGGAAUAAAACUAUUGAUGCAAUGAAGAGAGUUGAAGAGAUCAAACAGAAACGCCAAGCUAACUUUACAAUGAACAGAUUGAAGAAAAAUAGAGCUACAGAAAGUUCAGGAUAUAUCGAAGAAGUCAAGCAAAACAUCCAUCUUAUCGGAGCCCGUCUGGCAGGCAAAGAAAGCAGAUGGAAGAGAAAAUGGUACAGCAAUGACAACAGGAUGUGGACAUGGAAGAUGCUUCUUAA
rnacentral:lncRNA from 1 species